UACGGCCACAGCGUUGAAACACCGAUUCAAGUACGAUCACCGAAGUUAAGCAACGUCGAGUCUGGUCAGUACCUAGAUUGGUGAACGCUUGGAAAUACCAAGUGCUGUAAG